ACAGCCAAUAAAUCGAAGAGAUAAUCAAUCGGGUCUUGAGACUUAAAGACAACAUUAUUCACACAGUAGAUAUCUCGGAAAUAACAAUAAAGUGUCGUUUAGAAAUACGUAUUUCUGAUACACACUAGACUCCUUCGCUUGUUGUCCUUUGAUAUAAAAAUAAAAGUGACGAAGAUUGAAUGUAUAUAAGGAAAAUGAUUACUUGAAGAGGAAGGUUUAAAUGAUUAUUAAUCGAUUUGCAUUAACUACCGAACAGAAAUUGUGCAUACUCGGCUUAAUCCGGGGCGAGAUCCGCGAUAACCUACCUUCUCAAAUACACAUAUAUAAAUUUACUUACAUAUACGCAUAGUUGAGAUCCACUCGUUUUACCGGUUAAACCUCUUCUAAAGUUAAACGCAGACUGCAAGAAGAAUCGUCUGAACGAAUAUAAAAGCACGAUUAACAACCUCAGGGAAAUCCUGGCAGUGGGCAGAGCGAACCUACCAAGGAUCGGUAACGAACGAACAGCCAAUCACGAUGAUUUUUCUGACAAAGUUCGCAACCACAGAUUGUUUCCCGUGAUCGUUGUGGGCGGCGGUUUGGCGGGCAAGGUGGUGGCUUUGGUUUAUCAUCGCAACAGCAUGGUCUACAAGGAUCCUAUAAAUAAUAUUUUUCUUAUGAAUAUUUCUAUAUUUGUAUUUAAAAAACUGGCGCAAUAAUAAUUAAAUGAAAAUUAAGAUAUGAUUUAAAAGGUACGAAAAAAAGAAAGAAAAGAGGAGCGGUACUAAACAAAAAAUGAUUCAUUUUAUGGAAAAUACCUUUGAUCAUGUAAAAAUAAUAAAUAUUAAUAAGCUCCCCCUUUCUCAUUUUUAAAUUAUUAAA